GUGCUAGUUUCAGCAGCACAUAUACUAAAAUUGGAAUGAUGCAGAGAACAUUAGCAUGUCCCCUGCAUAAGGAUGACAUGCAAUUUCAUGAAGUGUUUCAUAUUUUA
rnacentral:snRNA from 1 species